rnacentral:lncRNA from 1 species
GCACACAACAAAGUCGGUGCAAUCCAAAUAUGGACGCAAUAAUGAUCUAAAAGUUGUGAUGCCUGAAAGUUUAAAAACUCUUUAGACCGAUUAUGUAUAUCAAUUAAUAUCAAGGAUUACAACACAACGGAGAUAAUCCGAAAUUACCUAACUACCGACUGGCCUAUCAAGCAAAUCUCUAAAAGUAACUACAAAAUCACUUAAAAGUAGUAAAAUAGCAUAGCUUUAAAAAUCAUCCCAAAUUCCAACAUCAAAGUUUUAAAUUAAUGUCUUUGUAACUGCCACCACAAUCGAGGCCAAGUGCAUGUUUAAAUUGACAGUAAAUUUUAAAAGUGACGGUAACACCACAUUGUAAUUUAACAAAAUCAUAGUGGCACACAACAAAGUCGGUGCAAUCCAAAUAUGGACGCAAUAAUGAUCUAAAAGUUGUGAUGCCUGAAAGUUUAAAAACUCUUUAGACCGAUUAUGUAUAUCAAUUAAUAUCAAGGAUUACAACACAACGGAGACACUGCGAAAUUACCUAACUACCGACUGGCCUAUCAAGCAAAUUUAAGCUCCACUGAAUAUCUAUUUACCAAUUUUAUGCUAUUUUACUUUUUUCCCAAUUCCUUAUUGUGUACUUAAGAGAAAAUAAAUUAAAAAUCAGUUAGAAAGUGAG